GUCAGUUUGGCCGAGUGGUCUAAGGCGCCAGACUCAAGUUCUGGUGGAGAAAUCCACGUGGGUUCGAACCCCACAGCUGACA
rnacentral:tRNA from 1 species